UACGGAGGGUGCAAGCAUUAAUCGGAAUUAUUGGGCGUAAAGGGCGCGUAGGUGGUAUGUCAAGUCACAUGUGAAAUUCCAGGGCUCAACCUUGGAGCUGCAUGUGAAACUGAUAUUCUAGAGGUAAGGCGGAGAAAACGGAAUUUCCCAUGUAGCGGUGAAAUGCGUAGAUAUGGGAAGGAACACCGGAGGCGAAGGCGGUUUUCUAGCUUUAACCUGACACUGAGGCGCGAAAGCGAGGGGAGCAAACAGGAUUAGAUACCCCCGUA
rnacentral:rRNA from 1 species